GGGGCCGUAGCUCAGUUGGGAGAGCGUCGCGUUCGCAACGCGAAGGUCAGGGGUUCGAUUCCCCUCGGCUCCACCA
rnacentral:tRNA from 1 species